AUUGAACGCUGGCGGCAGGCCUAACACAUGCAAGUCGAACGAGUGGCGGACGGGUGAGUAAUGUCUGGGAAACUGCCCGAUGGAGGGGGAUAACUACUGGAAACGGUAGCUAAUACCGCAUACCAUCGGAGGUGCCCAGAUGGGAUUAGCUAGUAGGUGGGGUAACGGCUCACCUAGGCGACGAUCCCUAGCUGGUCUGAGAGGAUGAACAGCAACACUGGAACUGAGACACGGCCCAGACUCCUACGGUAGGCAUCAGUGGGGAAUAGUGCACAAUGGGCGGAAGCCUGAUGCAGCCAUGCCGCGUGUAUGAAGAAGGCCUUCGGUUUUUAAAGUACUUUCAGCGGGGAGGCGUUACCCGCAGAAGAAGCACCGGCUAACUCCGUGCCAGCAGCCGCGGUAAUUC
rnacentral:rRNA from 1 species